rnacentral:rRNA from 1 species
GUGGGGAAUAUUGGGCAAUGGGCGCAAGCCUGACCCAGCAACGCCGCGUGAGGGAAGAAGGCUUUCGGGUUGUAAACCUCUGUCCUUGGUGACGAAACAAAUGACGGUAGCCAAGGAGGAAGCCCCGGCUAACUACGUGCCAGCAGCCGCGGUAAUACGUAGGGGGCGAGCGUUGUCCGGAAUUACUGGGCGUAAAGGGUGCGUAGGUGGCCUUUUAAGUUGGAUGUGAAAUACCCGGGCUUAACUUGGGGGGUGCAUCUAAUACUGGAGGGCUAGAGUGCAGGAGAGGAAAGCGGAAUUCCUAGUGUAGCGGUGAAAUGCGUAGAUAUUAGGAGGAACACCAGUGGCGAAGGCGGCUUUCUGGACUGUAACUGACACUGAGGCACGAAAGCGUGGGGAGCAAACAGGAUUAGAUACCCCUGUAGUCC